UACGUAGGUGGCAAGCGUUGUCCGGAUUUAUUGGGCGUAAAGCGCGCGCAGGCGGUGCGGUAAGUCUCUGGUGAAAGCGCUCGGCUUAACUGGGCGAGGGCCGGGGAGACUGCCACGCUGGAGGGGAGCAGAGGCGAGUGGAAUUCCGGGUGUAGUGGUGAAAUGCGUAGAGAUCCGGAGGAACACCAGUGGCGAAGGCGGCUCGCUGGGCUCUACCUGACGCUGAGGCGCGAAAGCUAGGGGAGCAAACAGG
rnacentral:rRNA from 1 species